GACGAACGCUGGCGGCGUGCUUAACACAUGCAAGUCGAGCGGUAAGGCCCUUUCGGGGGUACGACGAGCGGCGAACGGGUGAGUAACACGUGGGUGACCUGCCCUCAGCUCUGGGAUAAGCCUGGGAAACCGGGGUCUAAUACCGGAUAUGACUCCAUGACGCAUGUUGUGGGGUGGAAAGCCUUGUGCGGCUGAGGAUGGGCCCGCGGCCUAUCAGCUUGUUGGUGGGGUGAGGCCUACCAAGGCGACGACGGGUAGCCGGCCUGAGAGGGCGACCGGCCACACUGGGACUGAGACACGGCCCAGACUCCUACGGGAGGCAGCAGUGGGGAAUCUUGCGCAAUGGGCGAAAGCCUGACGCAGCGACGCCGCGUGAGGGAUGACGGCCU
rnacentral:rRNA from 1 species